rnacentral:rRNA from 1 species
CUGAACCAGCCAAGUAGCGUGCAGGAUGACGGCCCUAUGGGUUGUAAACUGCUUUUAUACAGGAAUAAAGUUAGCCACGUGUGGUUAUUUGCAGGUACUGUAUGAAUAAGGACCGGCUAAUUCCGUGCCAGCGAGCCGCGGUAAUU